AGCAGCCGCGGUAAUUCCAGCUCCAAUAGCGUAUAUUAAAGUUGUUGCAGUUAAAAAGCUCGUAGUUGAAUUUCGGGGUUUAUCCGUUGGUCGGGCUUUUGGGUCUGUACCGGCGUGAUGGAUUCCUACCUUCUGAAUAACCAGCAUGUCAUUAAUUUGGUGCGCUGGGGAAGCAGGACUGUUACCUUGAAAAAAUUAGAGUGCUUAAAGCAGGCUAUUGCCUGAAUACAUUAGCAUGGAAUAAUGAAAUAGGACGCAUGGUUCUAUUUAGUUGGUUUCUAGGGUCACCGUAAUGAUUAAUAGGGAUAGUUGAGGGCAUUAGUAUUCAAUUGUCAGAGGUGAAAUUCUUGGAUUUAUUGAAGACUAACUUCUGCGAAAGCAUUUGCCAAGGAUGUUUUCAUUAAUCAAGAACGAAAGUUAGGGGAUCGAAGACGAUCAGAUACCGUCGUAGUCUUAACCAUAAACUAUGCCGACUAGGGAUCGGACGAUGUUAAUUUUUUAAUGACUCG
rnacentral:rRNA from 1 species